rnacentral:rRNA from 1 species
ACGGAGGGUGCAAGCGUUGUCCGGAUUUAUUGGGUUUAAAGGGUGCGUAGGCGGCUGAAUAAGUCAGCGGUGAAAGACUUCGGCUUAACCGGAGCAGUGCCGUUGAUACUGUUUAGCUUGAGUGUUGGAGGGGUACAUGGAAUUGAUGGUGUAGCGGUGAAAUGCAUAGAUACCAUCAGGAACACCGAUAGCGAAGGCAUUGUACUGGCCAACAACUGACGCUGAGGCACGAAAGUGUGGGGAUCGAACAGGAUUAGAUACCCUGGUAGUCCACACUGUAAACGAUGAUUACUCGCUGUUAUGCUGUAUAGUGUAGCGGCCAAGCGAAAGCGUUAAGUAAUCCACCUGGGGAGUACGCCGGCAACGGUG